rnacentral:rRNA from 1 species
CUGUGACGGCGAGGGAAAUUUAGUACCGAAGUUCCUGAUUCCACACUGCCAAGAAAAGCCUCUAGCGAGGGAAAAGGUGCCCGUACCGCAAACCGACACAGGUAGGCGAGGAGAGAAUCCUAAGGUGAGCGAGAGAACUCUCGUUAAGGAACUCGGCAAAAUGACCCCGUAACUUCGGGAGAAGGGGUGCUCAUUAGGGUGAAUAGCCCUGAUGAGCCGCAGUGAAUAGGCCCAGGCGACUGUUUAGCAAAAACACAGGUCUCUGCGAAGCCGCAAGGCGAAGUAUAGGGGCUGACGCCUGCCCGGUGCUGGAAGGUUAAGAGGAGAGGUUAGCGCAAGCGAAGCUUUGAAUCGAAGCCCCAGUAAACGGCGGCCGUAACUAUAACGGUCCUAAGGUAGCGAAAUUCCUUGUCGGGUAAGUUCCGACCCGCACGAAAGGCGUAACGAUCUGGGCACUGUCUCAACGAGAGACUCGGUGAAAUUAUAGUACCUGUGAAGAUGCAGGUUACCCGCGACAGGACGGAAAGACCCCGUGGAGCUUUACUGUAGCCUGAUAUUGAAUUUUGGUACAGCUUGUACAGGAUAGGUAGGAGCCU